rnacentral:rRNA from 1 species
GAUGAACGCUGGCGGCGUGCCUAACACACUCAAGUCGAACGAAGCAGCAAUGCUUAGUGGCGGACGGGUGAGUAACGCGUGAGCAAUCUGCCUCUGUGUGCGGAAUAACAACCGGAAACAGUUGCUAAUACCGCAUGAUGUACAAGAUUCGCAUGUUUUUUGUACCAAAGAUUUAUUGCACAGAGAUGAGCUCGCGUCCGAUUAGAUAGUUGGCGGGGUAACGGCCCACCAAGUCGACGAUCGGUAGCCGGACUGAGAGGUUGAACGGCCACAUUGGAACUGAGAUACGGUCCAGACUCCGACGGGAGGCAGCAGUGGGGAAUAUUGGGCAAUGGGCGAAAGCCUGACCCAGCGACGCCGCGUGAGGGAAGAAGGUCUUCGGAUUGUAAACCUUUGUCAACAGGGAAGAAAACAAUGACGGUACCUGUGGAGGAAGCCACGGCUAACUACGUGCCAGCAGCCGCCGCGGUAA